rnacentral:ncRNA from 2 species
UGACGAACAGAAGGAUAAAUGCGUAUAAGCUUAAGGAUUGGCUUAAGCGUCUCUACCGGCAACCGGAAUUGCCUGGCUACGCAUGAUCGUACCGAAGAG